AAGCACAGCCAACGGGGAGAAUCUUUCCCAAGGUGAUCUAAUUCCCGUUGUCGGGUGGCCUGGAGCGCUGCUCCCGGUGCUGCUUGGCUCUGCCUGGCUGGUCAUCGCCGUCCCUCACAGCUGUUGUCUGGCUUCUGACCCUGAGCCUGGCUGCUGGGUGCAGUGCCGUCAGCGGGACGGCUGAGCGGCGACGAAGAUGAUGCCUCUCCAGAAAUGCCCCCUCAAAAGCUAACUCAUCCCCAAAGAAUUCAGCCUUUGGAACUAGAGUGCCCGUUUAUCUUGUACAUUACGGGAUCACUGGAGCUCCAGAGCAGCGGCACUGGCCACCUAGCAUAGAAGGCUGAGAGGGAUAAGGGAACUGAGGCCUGGAGAGGAAAGUGAUUUGUCCAAGAACAAAUGCUGUGUCUGAAGAUCAGUGUCUCUAUUCACUGCAGCGCACUGGGGACUUUACAUCAAAGACCUCAACUGACAAACGAUACAUCCAAGCUGCCUGUUUUCUUGCACUCCUUCUCUGUGGCUCUCUGGGCCCAAGGAGCAGGUGACUAGAGUCCCUUGGGCAUGCAGUGGAUGUAUGAAUUUGGGCACUCCAGCCUGUCCUGUUCCUUAUGAGGAUUUCCCAGCCCUUCAAGGAAUAAAUGAAUGAUCUGUUUCUUCCUACACGGUUUUCCCUUUCCAUUUUGUGUCGCUCAGAAAAACAUGGAACCAGAAAACCAAGUUCAAGAGUCCUCUGCUCUGCUCAGUGGUUGAGGAGCCCAGCCAGCAGGGCCAUCUGAGGUCUUUCUGUGAAAUGCACCAUGUUUGCACCUCCCUCUCCCGGUUGGUCUGAAAGCGUGUCCACUGGCUGUCCUCACAGCCACCCGGGCUGUAUCUUUCUGGCUCCCAGAGCUAUUCAGCUGGGCCAAACCCCAUCCUCAUAGUCAGCAGGGUCACCCAGACAUUCUGCCCCCUGACCCCCAUGGGCCUUUCACUUAUUCAUUCAACAAAUAUUUUUGUGUGCUCACCAUAUGCAAGGCCCAGU